rnacentral:rRNA from 1 species
AACUUUUAACAAUGGAUCUCUUGGCUCUCAUAUCGAUGAAGAACACAGUGAAAUGUGAUAAGUAAUGUGAAUUGCAGAAUUCAGUGAAUCAUUGAAUCUUUGAACGCACCUUGCACCUUUUGGUAUUCCAAAAGGUACACCUGUUGGAGUGUCAUG